CAAGUCGAACGAAGUAGCAAUACUUAGUGGCAGACGGGUGAGUAACAUGUAGGUAUCUACCCUUUGGCCUGGAAUAACACGAGGAAACUUGUGCUAAUACCGGAUAAGUCUUUACGGAGAAAGCUUUAUGCACCAUUGGAUGAGCCUGCAUUUGAUUAGUUUGUUGGUGGGGUAAUGGCCUACCAAGACUUUGAUCAAUAGCUGAUUUGAGAGGAUGAUCAGCCACAUUGGGACUGAGACACGGCCCAAACUCCUACGGGAGGCAGCAGUGGGGAAUCUUGCACAAUGGAGGAAACUCUGAUGCAGCGAUGCCGCGUGAGUGAAGAAGGCCCUUGGGUUGUAAAGCUCUUUCGUCGGGGAAGAAAAUGACUGUACCCGAAUAAGAAGGUCCGGCUAACUUCGUGCCAGCAGCCGCGGUAAUACGAAGGGACCUAGCGUAGUUCGGAAUUACUGGACUUAAAGAGUUCGUAGGUGGUUGAAAAAGUUGGUGGUGAAAUCCCAGAGCUUAACUCUGGAACUGCCAUCAAAACUUUUCAGCUAGAGUUUGAUAGAGGAAAGCAGAAUUUCUAGUGUAGAGGUGAAAUUCGUAGAUAUUAGAAAGAAUACCAAUUGCGAAGGCAGCUUUCUGGAUCAUUACUGACACUGAGGAACGAAAGCAUGGGUAGCGAAGAGGAUUAGAUACCCUCGUAGUCCAUGCCGUAAA
rnacentral:rRNA from 1 species